rnacentral:rRNA from 1 species
GGACGAAAGUCUGACGGAGCAACGCCGCGUGAGUGAUGAAGGUUUUCGGAUCGUAAAGCUCUGUUGUUAGGGAAGAACAAGUGCGAGAGUAACUGCUCGCACCUUGACGGUACCUAACCAGAAAGCCACGGCUAACUACGUGCCAGCAGCCGCGGUAAUACGUAGGUGGCAAGCGUUGUCCGGAAUUAUUGGGCGUAAAGGGCUCGCAGGCGGUUUCUUAAGUCUGAUGUGAAAGCCCCCGGCUCAACCGGGGAGGGUCAUUGGAAACUGGGAAACUUGAGUGCAGAAGAGGAGAGUGGAAUUCCACGUGUAGCGGUGAAAUGCGUAGAGAUGUGGAGGAACACCAGUGGCGAAGGCGACUCUCUGGUCUGUAACUGACGCUGAGGAGCGAAAGCGUGGGGAGCGAACAGGAUUAGAUACCCUGGUAGUCCACGCCGUAAACGAUGAGUGCUAAGUGUUAGGGGGUUUCCGCCCCUUAGUGCUGCAGCUAACGCAUUAAGCACUCCGCCUGGGGAGUACGGUCGCAAGACUGAAACUCAAGGAAUUGACGGGGGCCCGCACAAGCGGUGGAGCAUGUGGUUUAAUUCGAAGCAAC